CAGCCCGUCCCAAUGCAACCAUUUUUGUGCACCGCUCUUUCCCACGGAGGCUGCUCUUCUGUCUGCCCUGCCUUGGCUCAGCCUCCAACAAAGCUUCCAGGAAGAGAGACAGAGAAGAUGGGCCUCAAGCAGGAAAUGUGCGCGGUCUUUAGAGGAGACGGAGAAAAGGGAGGUUUUUGUUCAAUCGUGUACGUUACUCUCUUAUUCCCCACCAUUUCCUGAAAACAAGGCUUGGGGGAAGAAAAAUCGCAGAGCUACAUCGCAUUUUUCCAUUAGCAGAGCAAGCAGGGAGAAGUAAUGGGCUUGCGGGGGGUGGAGGGGGGCGGGUGGCAUAAUCAGAGAUCUGCUUCGUCUUCAGAGAAAGAAAAACGCCCGGGCGCCUGCUCGGCCAUAAAUUGCAUCUGCUGGUUGGAGCUACGGCAAGUUAUUAAAGUGACUGCAUUAAAGUCAUAAUUCAGCAGGUCAGCAGUGAGCAUACUCCGCAAUCUCUCCUCCAUCAUCCCUCCCGAACACAUUUUCUGAAAGGACUAAACCCCAGUGGCCUGAAUCAGCUCUUACUGCGGCGCUUAAUGACUUUUCCUCCCGCUUCAAGGAGCUGGGGAGGGCGCGGAACAAGCCAGUCUCUCGAUGACAUCACCGGCGCUCACAAAAGGAUGGCGCUGCCCGUCCAGGCCCAGCCCGGAGGAGGAAUCCCCCUUCCAUUUUCACUUUCCCUUGCAAGGCAAGAAGAAACGCGGCUCGGUGCAAGGCCUUCGCUUCGUAAGAUGCUUCCUAUUUGAAGAGAAGGGAGGGGGGACGUGGUCCGACUCUUGUGGAGCGGCUGAUCACGUGAGGAUGUCCUCCCUUCCCAUAUCCAGCUGUUUCAUUUAUGUAUUCAAAGGAAGACAGCAGCGAGUUAGUGCAGAUUUCAAGCACGUUAAAAAAAAAAAAAGCAUCAGAGACCAAUAUGUGAGCCAUGCAGGGGGAGAGUAACCGGCCCUAUCCACCUCCAGCACAGUACCUCCAGUGAUUGUUGCUGGUGUUUAUCUUAUGCAUCUUUUUAGAUUGUGAGCCCUUUGGGGACAGGAAGAGCCAUCUUAUUUACACUUUGGAAUGUUUUGUUGAAAUGCGGUAUAUAAAUAUUUGUUGUAGUAGUUGUAAAUAUUUUAAGACAUGAUAUUUCAAUAACAUGCACUUGUCCUACAUUGUUUAAAUUUUACAAAAAUAAAAAGAAGGCACUGAAAA